CCCGCGCGCCCGCUCCGCCGCGCCGCCCCGCCCCGCUGGGCCCGGCGUGGGCAGGGCGUCCAGAGCGGGUGUCUGCCGGAGGGGCGGCGGACCCUCGGUCCACAGGGAAAAGGAGGGGACUGUGAAGACUGGAGAAGGCACGAGGGUCCCCGCCCCCCAACCCUGAGCACCCUUUCUGGAUGCGGAGCCCCUGCUGCCGUAGUCCCAAUUCCUGCUUGGCCCACGGUGGGAGUGGGCGCUCCUCUUCCGCCGGUUGUUUCCCUUGUCUUCUCACUACCUCCCUCCACCCGGGCCCCCCUCAGGCCUUGCGCCCGAAUUUGGACCUAGAGACAGGAUCCGAGAGGAACAGGCUGUGUUUCAGCUGGCGGGCUGUGCAGACCCGCCAGCGCGUCGGAAAGCUCCAAGUCUGGGCCCUGGCUCCUGAGCACCCUUCAGGGUCUGGACGGGACUCAUGCCUGUUUGUGCAUCAGAACACUGUUAGGCCUGAGAAGCCAAGAAAGAAGUAGAGGCCCCAGGAAGGGAAAGGAGGAAACUCCCGGCAGAGGAGCUGUCAGGAAAGUCAGCGCAGCAGGCCUGGCUCCACGGGCUCCGCUUGGGUGAUUUCUGAGCUGGGGGACCCUUCUUUAAGGGAUCAUCAGGUGAAAAACACGUACAGCUUGGAAAGAUGGGCAUCCCAGGUGCUCUGUGAAACGGUGGGAGUGCAAGCGGGCAUGCCCAUGUGAAAACAAGAUCGUGUCGGGUGGGUCCUGAGGCCCAGGCACUGGAGGAGACACAUCUCCCUGUGUCCUGCCACUGAAUGUCCCAUGUCUGGACAGCCCUGAAGUGCGCUGUGACCUCCAACAGGGUAUGUACCUCCCGGCAGUAACCAGUCUUGAGUCGGACCCUGACGUGGGAGCUCUGUGUCGGCUAACUCAGAAUCAUCCUCACUCCGUCGGUGGUUCAGUUUUCACGCCCCUACAGGGAGUGGGGGGGAGUGGUGUGCAGGGUCAGGCACAGGUGGGAGCUGUGGCACAGCAUUCCGCCCAGGCCCUGCGCCCCCACCUGUGUAGCAUUCCCCGAACUUGUCUGACGGAGGAAGCCCUUUACGCAGCACACAGCGUCUUACAGGAACUCCCGUUUUCAGGAAGAUGGUUUCAGCAGCGCUGCAGUGACUGAUGCGAGCCCAGCAGAGAGCAUUGGUUUAUCAGACUUGCUGUGAAUGGAGCGGUGAGCAUACAUUGAGAGGAGGGGAAAAUGUGAUCUAAAACACAAGGCAGUAGAUUUCAAAGGAUAGUCUGCAGCCUUGUCACUCGGAGUGUGGUCCCCAGACCAGCAGCAUCGACACCCCUAAGGAGCUUGUUAAAAAUGCAGAGCCUCAGAGCACACCCCACGCCUACCUUACGUGCGGGCACCUGCAUCUUGACCGACUCCCCCUUCGCUCCACCUCUGUCCUCGGGGCAUCUGCCUCAGAAUCCUAGGGAGGCUCCUGAACUAUGCAGAGUCCUGGUUUCUGCCUGAGGCCUGCUGACGUGGAGCUUGGAGAAUGGGGCCUGGGACCUGGCCUUGUAACAAUGUCUUGGGGUGACGUUCACGCACACUAGCGUUUGAGAACCACUGGCCUGUCCCACAGGCAACAAGCAGCUCCCGGGAGCCUCCUAAAAAUGCUACUUCCUGGGCCGCCCCUGGAUCUACUGAGUCUGGGCGUCUAGGGGCCGAGCCUGGGAAUCAGCACGAGGAUGAUGGUGAAACGGACACAGCUGCCCUGAGGCGGGACUCCAGCCAGCUCUGCUCUGCCCAGCAUCCUGGGGCUAUGCCCACUGGGAGGAGGAGCUGUGAUCUCCGCCCCUGGAUCAAGAGCCCUAGAGAAAAGUGUGCUUUUGUUUCUAGGAGAGAUUAAGAAAAUGCAUUUGGGAGGGUAGCCUAUGAGUGGCUGUUUGCUCUCGACACCUGUAAACUGUUGACUGUAAUUGGACCACAGAUGUUCCCUGAGCCUGAUAGCUUUCUCUCCUCCGGCCGUGGAGGGGAGUCUGGGGAGGGGUUCUUCUCUAGUAGGAAAUUGAAUGAUUGUAUUGGGGCUGCAUUUCCUUGCCUUCCUCUGAUUUAAUCUGUUUUUCUCCAUUUAUCAUUAUUAUUUUCGACACUUCAGUGUUAGACAAAAAGCUGUUUUGUAAAGAAAGCAGGGGGAUGUUAGCAAAAGGUGUGUUCAUAGAAUCAAACAGAAUCUUUGUGGGCAAAUGAAGGUAUUCAAAGUCCUGCAGAAAUGGAUGAAAUCCUCCUGCCCUCCAGCUCAAGGAGACCUCCCAGCGUGGAACAGAGAAGAGCAAUCUCACAGGAGAAAGCAGGAGAGAGGCGCUGUGUGGAAGGUCUGCGAGUCAUCAUCUCCCAUAAUCCUCACACACAAAAGAGGUGAUGUCUGCACGUUCCACAGACAGAAAACGGACCUGGAGAUGUGGAACAGCCUGCCCGGGGCAUGAGCUGCAUCUCUCAAGUCCAUCCCCUCCCCUCCAGCUACCCAUCGGAGCCCCAUCAUCUCUCACCUGGAUCCCUGCGCAGCCUCACUCCUCUCCCUGCAAACCCGGCCCCACGGGGACCACUGAAACUUGCAUCAGAGAACAUCACGUGAUGCCCUGCUUCAAGCCCUCAGGCUGGACCCUCUCGGAACCUCGAUGCUCUCUCCAUGGCCCACAGGUCCUGUGCCAUCUGGCCCCUCCGCCCCCUCCCCCUCGCUCUGCCCUUGCUAUCUGGAGCAUUCUGCCCCAGGUCUAGGCAAGGCCGACUGCUGCUCAGAGAUGCCCUGCAGGGCCCCCAGCAAGGCUGCUCGCCCACCUCUCCUCAGCCAGGACCUUUCACACCUAUCACAUCCCUCUGGUUCUGUCUGUCUGAUGUCUGCAGUGCAGCAGGGGCCUCUCUGCCCGGCCCCCUGCCCUCUCCCCAGCUCCCGGAUGGUGCCGGCCCAGGCUCAGCAAACAUCUGAAUAAAUGAAUGUCUGAGUGGAUGACUGGGAAAGCUGGGAGAGAAGGUGCAGUCUCCUGGGACUUAACCUUGGGGGAGUGGGGAGGGGUCCGUGAUGCCACGCUGCCUGAACUCCUGCCCCACGCCUGGGAAGAAGGAAUACCGGUGGUUUUUCUUCUUUCUUCUGUGAACUCCGGGGCAGAAUGAGAGCCAGGGCCGGGGGGAGGGUGGUUCAGCUGAAUGUGGCAACAACAAGGGGUUAGGAAGACAUCAGGGGGGAGAGGAAGGAGGAUGAUAAAAUGCAUGUCGGGGAAGAGGAACCAAUUAAACAGUCAACUAAAUAAUAUUAGAUUUAGAGGAGGGAGAAAAUGGAGAUGUUGGAAAUAUGAGUAGACUGAGUGGCAAUAAAACAGGAGAGAGACCAAGAAAAUGGGGAAAAAGUAGAAAUGGACUUUCUGAGUUAAAGCAUCCGCCUGGGCCUGGAGACUGCGCAGCCGGGAUGCCCCUUUGGCUCAGCCGCUCAGGCAUCCCGGAGGAAUCGGGUUUCACCUGUAGGCUCACUGGUUGGAUGCUUUCAAAUUCCAUUUAACCCGGUUUGAUCAUCGAAUUUUGGGGGAUUGCUGCUGGUCACCUCCAGAGCACAAGCCCCUGCCGGCUGGACUCCUUGGGGGUGGGGCAGGGUUCCCCGCCCAGCCCCAGUCUGCUCAAGUGCAGCCAAGACAAGUGUCCUGUCCUCAAGAAGCAAGCCCUCUGUUCACCUUCACGAGCUGGGGCCCCACUUUGCUUUCUGGGUCUGUGGUUGAAGCUUCACAGAGAAGAAGCUGCAGAGGCAGACGGACGAAGCCGCCUGCUCAAGGACACAACCCCCCUGGGAGCCGCUUCUUUGGGAGAAGGCAGGGCCCUCACACUUCAGUUGAGCAACAGGGUCACCUGACAAGCAUUUUAAAAACAUGAGUGCUUGGACCUCAGACCAGCCCCAUAGGGUCACGUCCAGCAACUCUGUUCUUGACGUUCCCCAGAUGAACUUAAAUGCACACCGGUGGUUGGGCAUUAAACCCCUUCUGAGUGUUUCUAUCUCAAUGCCUUAGUGUGACUUAAUUUUUGAUAUUUUUCUAGUAAAGGGGCUUCCAUGGGUUGGGAAAGUGAACACUUGAUUGAUGGAAGGAAAGGUGGCAGGGGCUCCAGAGGUGACUGAUUUCACCUGUCUGGGUGGGGUACGACAGAGGGAUUCUGGGGAUGGCUGCAGGGGCCUCAAGGCCGCUGGGCAAUAUGUGUGAAACGGGGAAGAGCUCUGAUGGAAGGAAGUGAGGGACGUGCAGAUGUGGUCACCCACCUACUCCGCAGGCGACCAGCUCUCAGCCCAAAUUCCUAGAGCCGAUCCCUCAGAGCAAGAUUCCUCCCACAGGAAAUGGACCAGAACUGGAUCUCAGGCUGCACACAGCAGAGGUGAGCGCUGGGUGGUGUGGAGACGGGUGCUGGGGCAUCAGAGGAUGCGAUGGGAGGUGCAAAGUAAACCAGUAGGUCAAGACCCUUCUCUGCCCCAACAACUGCAGAAAGGAGGGGCCCCCAGGGUCCCGUGCAGGGCGCCAGCAGAAGGCCGAGUGCUGUGCAGCAGCUGAUGGCUGCGUUGCCGGGCAGGCCGGGUGAGAAUGAGCAGCAUCUCUGACAUCCGGGCAGCUCUGUCAUUUCCUGAGCCCUUUCUCAGGCAUCACCCCAUCCACUUGCUGCCACCUCAUUUCGCAGAUGAGGAAACUAAGGCUCAGACACGGGAAACGGCCCAGUGGGAGUUAGGCAGCUCAUUGGAAACAGAACAGGGAGACCACAGAAGUCUGCUCAUAGCCCAGGGGUCCUCCCCAGGGAGGCAUUUUAGCUCCACAGCUAUAACGCAGAAAGUGGCUUCUUCUGGAGUAUUCCCAAACUAAGAAGAAGAAGAGCAGAAACUGGAGAGCUAACCUAGAUCACGGUUGUUUUCCACGGACUCUACGGUCUCAGGACCCAGGACCACGGAUGCCCGCCUUCUAAACCAAAGAGGAGGAGGGCCUGUUUGAUCCACCAACCAGUGUCUUCCCUUAGCGAGCUUGGGCUGGUGUGCACAGGUGGACGAGACGGCAGGGCUUUGGCUGGGAGAAAUUGCGCCCCGUCCAGGCCCAUGUGUCCGUCGGGGCUGGCUCCUCUGAAUUCAUUGACCCCUCAGGACUCCGAUGAUGCACAGGUGCUACACGAUGUCCAGGGGUGCCGCUGGGGACAAGAGACUGGCCCCUGUCUCCGUGGACCACACCAUCCAGAGGGGAGUUAGAAUACAGACCCUGGGCGAGGAAGUGGGAAGCUCAGCGAGGCGUGCGUGGCAACAACGCCUUAUACUUUCACACCUGGUGUUUCAAGUGCUCCUCACAACCUCCCUGUUAGAAAAGUGGGACUUGCAGUGUCAGCCUCAAUUUACAGGAUUCGGGAACUGGCAAGGAUGAAGCACUCUGCAUUUAUAAAUAGUCUCCUUCUUUUUGGGAU
rnacentral:lncRNA from 1 species